UCCCUCAUAGCUCAGUUGGUUAAGAAUUUGCUUGCAAUGCAGAAGUCCCUGGUUCAAUUCCUGGGUCGGGGAG
rnacentral:tRNA from 1 species